rnacentral:rRNA from 1 species
CAAGUCGAGGGGCAGCGCGGCGGAAGCUUGCUUCCGCUGGCGGCGACCGGCGGAAGGGUGCGUAACGCGUGAGCGACAUGCCCGUUGCCCGGGGACAACCGGUGGAAACGCCGACUAAUCCCCGAUGGGAUACGAUGCUUCAUGGCAUUGUAUUGAAAGUUACGGCGGCGACGGAUUGGCUCGCGUCCGAUUAGCUUGUUGGCGGGGUAACGGCCCACCAAGGCGACGAUCAGUAGGGGUUCUGAGAGGAAGGUCCCCACAUUGGAACUGAGACACGGUCCAAACUCC